CGCUGGCGGCGCGCCUAACACAUGCAAGUCGAACGAGCGAGAGAGAGCUUGCUUUCUCGAGCGAGUGGCGAACGGGUGAGUAACGCGUGAGGAACCUGCCUCAAAGAGGGGGACAACAGUUGGAAACGACUGCUAAUACCGCAUAAGCCCACGGCUCGGCAUCGAGCAGAGGGAAAAGGAGUAAUCCGCUUUGGGAUGGCCUCGCGUCCGAUUAGCUAGUUGGUGAGGUAACGGCCCACCAAGGCGACGAUCGGUAGCCGGACUGAGAGGUUGAACGGCCACAUUGGGACUGAGAUACGGCCCAGACUCCUACGGGAGGCAGCAGUGGGGAAUAUUGGGCAAUGGGCGCAAGCCUGACCCAGCAACGCCGCGUGAAGGAAGAAGGCUUUCGGGUUGUAAACUUCUUUUAAGAGGGAAGAGCAGAAGACGGUACCUCUAGAAUAAGCCACGGCUAACUACGUG
rnacentral:rRNA from 1 species